AGCGAACGCUGGCGGCAGGCUUAACACAUGCAAGUCGAGCGGGCAUCUUCGGGUGUCAGCGGCGGACGGGUGAGUAACGCGUGGGAACGUGCCUUCUGGUUCGGAAUAACUCAGGGAAACUUGAGCUAAUACCGGAUACGCCCUUUUGGGGAAAGGUUUACUGCCGGAAGAUCGGCCCGCGUCUGAUUAGCUAGUUGGUGGGGUAACGGCCUACCAAGGCGACGAUCAGUAGCUGGUCUGAGAGGAUGAUCAGCCACACUGGGACUGAGACACGGCCCAGACUCCUACGGGAGGCAGCAGUGGGGAAUAUUGGACAAUGGGCGCAAGCCUGAUCCUGCCAUGCCGCGUGAGUGAUGAAGGCCUUAGGGUUGUAAAGCUCUUUUAUCCGGGACGAUAAUGACGGUACCGGAGGAAUAAGCCCCGGCUAACUUCGUGCCAGCCGCCGCCGUAA
rnacentral:rRNA from 1 species